UUGCAACCUACGAACGCCUCUCGCGGUUCGACAACUUCCCGUUGUUUCGAAUAAUAAAAUGACAAAAAUACCCCCAAUUUGCGUAAGAGGAUAUGUGUUCCGCCUCAAUCAUUUUCACGAUUCUCAUCAUCUCCUCUAUCGCGGCCCUGCAAUCUCCCAUUCCCAUGCUGAAUCAUCUGACGAUCACUCAUCUCAGCUAUCGGAGAUCGCUCAUCACUUUGAUUCCAAUUCUCGUCUCCGCUAUUGCAUCGCUCCUCGCGGUAAUCUACCCAGGCUACAUCGCAUAAUUGAUUGGAGGUCACUCGCCCGCUCAGCAAUUAAGAAAUUAAAUGGAUAAACCAAAGGAUGGUGGAGCAUCUGCAACAUGUGAGCAAGAUGUGAAGAUUAUAUUUUGUGAUUUAUGUAUUAGAGAGAUUGAAUUUGAAAAUCGACGGACAACUCACUUCAAUAAAGAGGGUUGGUUGAAUUUAAUGAAGAAUUUUAGUGAGAAAACUGGAAGAGAGUAUGAUCAAGUGCAGCUAAAAAAUAAAUGUAAUGCUGACUUCUGUGAAGAUGUGGUAAGCAAAGAAAUCUGAGAUGUAAUGCAGACUUCUGCGGGCAACCGCUCUGUCCAAGGUAACCAAUUAUCGUCUUAGAUUCAGUUAUGCACUCUCUUGCAAGGUAAGCAAAGAAAUCUGAGAUGUAAUGCUGACUUCUGUGAAGAUGUGGUAUUUAUGAUGCUUAAGAUAGAAUAUUUCGCUUCGUGAUAGCAUUUCUGGGCUUACGCAACUGAAGGUUUUUAUCAAGGAACAUUGUAAUGUUCAUGCUGAAGUUCUUUAAAAUUUUUUUAGAAUCAA